AACGUAGGUGGCGAGCGUUAUCCGGAUUUACUGGGCGUAAAGGGUGUGCAGGCGGGUGAACAAGUGGUGUAUGAAAGGUUUCGGCUCAACCGAGAUAGGUUAUGCCAGACUGUUUACCUAGAGUGUGAGAGAGGGACGUGGAAUUCCAGGUGUAGCGGUGAAAUGCGUAGAUAUCUGGAGGAAUACCGGUGGCGAAGGCGGCAUCCUGGACCGGCAUUGACGCUGAUGAGCGAAAGCUAGGGGAGCAAACGGGG
rnacentral:rRNA from 1 species